rnacentral:tRNA from 1 species
AGCAGCGUGGCUCAGUGGAAAGAGCCCGGGCUUGGGAGAGGUCAUGGGUUCGAAUCCCAGCUCUGCCA